rnacentral:tRNA from 2 species
GGAGGAGUGGCCGAGUGGUUGAAGGCGGCGGUCUUGAAAACCGUUAGGCUCGAAAGGGCCUCGGGGGUUCGAAUCCCUCCUCCUCCGCCA